rnacentral:rRNA from 1 species
UACGAAGGGGGCUAGCGUUGCUCGGAAUCACUGGGCGUAAAGCGCACGUAGGCGGCUUGUUAAGUCAGGGGUGAAAUCCUGGAGCUCAACUCCAGAACUGCCUUUGAUACUGGCGAGCUUGAGUUCGGGAGAGGUGAGUGGAACUGCGAGUGUAGAGGUGAAAUUCGUAGAUAUUGGGAAGAACACCGGUGGCGAAGGCGGCGACCUGGUCCGAUACUGACGCUGAGGCGCGAAAGCGUGGGGAGCAAACAGG